GACGGGGGGGGGCAAGUGUUCUUCGGAAUGACUGGGCGUAAAGGGCACGUAGGCGGUGAAUCGGGUUGAAAGUGAAAGUCGCCAAAAAGUGGCGGAAUGCUCUCGAAACCAAUUCACUUGAGUGAGACAGAGGAGAGUGGAAUUUCGUGUGUAGGGGUGAAAUCCGUAGAUCUACGAAGGAACGCCAAAAGCGAAGGCAGCUCGCUGGGACGUGACUGACGCUGAGACGCGAAAGCGUGGGGAGCAAACAGG
rnacentral:rRNA from 1 species